CACCUACGGGUGGCUGCAGUCGAGAAUCUUCGGCAAUGGACGAAAGUCUGACCGAGCGACGCCGCGUGUGGGAUGAAGGUCUUCGGAUUGUAAACCACUGUCGAGGGGGAUUAAGGGCAACUUGAAAGAACCCUGGAGGAAGGGGAGGCUAAGCUCGUGCCAGCAGCCGCGGUAAGACGAGCUCCCCAAACGUUAUUCGGUAUCACUGGGCUUAAAGAGUUCGUAGGCGGCGAAGUAGGUGAGGUGUGAAAGCCCUCGGCUCAACCGAGGAACUGCGCUUCAAACCGCUUUGCUAGAGGGAGAUAGGGGUAAGCGGAACAGAUGGUGGAGCGGUGAAAUGUGUUGAUAUCAUCUGGAACACCGGUGGCGAAAGCGGCUUACUGGGUCUUUUCUGACGCUGAGGCACGAAAGCUAAGGUAGCAAACGGGAUUAGA
rnacentral:rRNA from 1 species